UAUAUCUUAGUUUAGGAAGAAUACUUGUUUUUGGUGUAAGAGGGUGAGGUAUAA
rnacentral:tRNA from 1 species